rnacentral:misc_RNA from 1 species
UCAAACUUGGUCAUUUAGAGGAAGUAAAAGUCGUAACAAGGUUUCCGUAGGUGAACCUGCGGAAGGAUCAUUACCGAGUUAGGGUCUCCUUCGUGAGGCCCGACCUCCCAACCCUGUGUCUAAUAAACCUAUACGUGUUGCUUCGGCGGACCGGCAGUUCUUAACUGAGCCGUCGCCGGGGGAGAACGGUCUCACGACCACCCCUGGAGAGUGUCCGUCGAUGGCCCAACCAAAAACUCCCAAAAACAAAAUAUGAUAACUAUAACUUCUGAAUCAGACCUCUUGAUAUACCAAUCAAAAACAAAACUUUCAACAACGGAUCUCUUGGUUCUGGCAUCGAUGAAGAACGCAGC